AAAAAUAAUAUGAAGCCUAUACAUGGUGGCAAAUUGUUACGCGACACAUUUCUGCUAAAACAAUAGACUGGAAGUUCUUUCAGUCAGAGUUUUAGAAGAAGUACAUCGGGGAACUAUAUUUAGAGGAUAGAAAAUAAGAAUUUCUUUUGUUAAAACAGGGAGAUCUCUCCGUAGUGGAAUAUACACGACUUAGCAAGUAUGCUGUGGAGCUUGUUUCGAUUGAAGAAGAAAAUUGUAAACGCUUUCUAUGUGGAAUGCGAGAUGAGAUCAGGAUUCAAUUAGUUGCAUUGAAAAUUAAGGAGUUUGUUGAUUUGUCCAAACGGGGAAAAAUGGUAGAACAAUAUUUGGGAUUAAGCAAGAAGUCUGAACCUUCUCGUGUUACAGGAAAAUGACUCGAUGCUCUUAGUUCACAUUCAGUACCAAAACGAACUAAAGAAUCUCGUGAGCAUAGGAAGACAGUUGCAAGAUCAACUACAUCAAACAGAAUGUGAGAUCACCAACGCACCAUUUAUGUUUGCAGUGUAAAAGGGUUGAAUAGAAAUUCCGAGUUGUGAACAUUGUGGGAAGAAACACUAGGGAAAAUGCUAGAAAUUGACUAAAAGGUGUUUUCGAUGUGGAUCACUAGAACACUUCGCUCGUGAAAGUCUGACAAACGAAAAUGAUAGACCUGAUGUUACACAGAGAGCUGUAUCAACAGUUAGGGGUCAAGGUUUUAGCUGAGGUGGUUAGUGUAAUACCUAAUUUUGCCUGGGCCCAAUUUAAAAAACCAAAAUAAUAAAUCAAAUGUCCAAGGUCCAGAUUACAAAGUCAACAAAAAAUAUAUAAUCUAUAAACCCAAAAUUCAAAGUUAUCCUAGCCCAAAUACUUAGCCCAAAUACCUAGCCCAAUUGCUAAACCUAAUGGAGCCCAAUACCAAAACAAACUGCAUGCAAAGACCCCAGAAGUUUCGGCAGCUGCUUCUCCACGUUCGUCUCCACGGCCUCCGUACCUGCGAAAAAAGUGGAUCCAAACAGCAAACAAACCAGCAUACAACGUAGCAAUAACAGAAACAUAGCAAAUAAUAGCGGAAAAUACAAGAAAAAAUGGAAAAAAGGAGUUUUCGAGAAUUUCUUUUUUCUGUUAUUUCGGCUAUAUAAAGCCAAAUUAAAUUUGAAAAAAGGGGCUGAUUUUAUAGAAAGAAAUACAGAGAAAAAGAUUGAAAAUAGAUAUACAAAAAAAAAGAGAAAAAGAAAAGAAAAGUUUGAAUAAAAGGUGAUUUUCUGUUUUUAUUUUGGUGUUCAUCGUUCUUUUUUUUUAUGUUUUUAUUUUUAUGCAUAAAAUAAAAGGAAGAGAAGAAAGAAAGCUUACCUUUGCCCUCGGAUCUACUCCAACGGGGUUCAAAAACCCAACUCGGUGAGCAUCCGGCCACCGAUCACGGUGGAGCCGCGGUGGAAGGAAAGUGACGCGGCGGCGGCUCAGGAAAAAGUUAGAAACCCUAGCAGAGAAAGCUAGGGUUGGUUUGUUUUUUAUAAAAAAAUGGCAGAAAAUGGAAUGUUUUAAAAAAAAUAUUGAUUUUAUAACAGGUACGAAACGACGUCGUUUAGGGCCUGUUUCAAUAGCCUCAAAACAGCGCAGUUCUGGCAAUGAUCUGCGCAGUGACCCGACCCGAGGGAAGGAUCCGCACGUUUUCUCCUAAGGGUCAAUUUCGUAUUUGAUCCUCCUCCUUUUGUGGCGUGUUCAAAUCAACUUUUUUUAUUUUUUUGAAUUUUGGCUCUGCAUUUUAUUUUUGUUUCAUUUUAGUCCUAUCACAGCGCUGCGUUUUGGGAGGAUGGGGAAUAUUUCCCAAUUAGUCCCCCAUGUUAUUCGCGCGCUGUAUUGUGGCCCUCAACUUUAUUUUAUUUUCAUUUCUUUCCUUUCAAUUUUGUUUUAAGUGCGAUUUAACCCUCAUUAACUUAAUUUAAUGUACUCG
rnacentral:lncRNA from 1 species